UACGAAGGGAGCUAGCGUUGUUCGGAAUUACUGGGCGUAAAGCGCGCGUAGGUGGCCUGCCAAGUCAGGGGUGAAAUCCCAGAGCUUAACUCUGGAAUUGCCUUUGAAACUGGUAGGCUUGAGUAUCGGAGGGGAUGGUGGAAUUUCUAAUGUAGCGGUGAAAUGCGUAGAUAUUAGAAGGAACAUCGGUGGCGAAGGCGACCAUCUGGACGAUUACUGACACUGAGGCGCGAAAGCGUGGGGAUCAAACAGG
rnacentral:rRNA from 1 species